ensembl:lncRNA
GUGCUGGGCAGGCAGGAAAUGAAAAGUUCAGUAACCACUGAUGCUACUCCCAGGACUAAGCAAUGGAUAUCCAGGUGACAUCCGCCUGCAGGGUUUGCUUUUUCCAGGAUAGAGAAAUGUUUGGAAGAGUUCUUCUAUCUGGGUUCUUCACGGCCUCUUGAGAUGACCGUUGCCUCUCAGUGCCCUUGUUAGUAAAGUGCUUUGCAAACUACAUGCAGAAGUCUGUGCAGUAUAUGCUGUUGGAAGAUCUGAUCCCGCUUGUUACAAUAUUAUUGAUAGUUUCUAUCUCCAUGCAGAUAUUUGCAGCUCUCCCCACCCAGCUGUGCCAUCUCUCAACCUCGACCUUCCCAGCACUCCCCAGGCAGGUCCUGGCCCUUCACUGUGGUGUGGCAAAAUUCAGUCUUGCCUACGCAGCUGAAAAACUUUGGCUCUUCAUAAUAACACCAGCUUGCCUGCAGGGAAUAAGGUGGAAGCUGGACCACGUCAAGGCCUUUUAUAUCCUGCAAAGGUAAAUGCUUGGGAUGGAAACUGAGAUGUACUCAGCUGGUGAAAGCUUCUACCAAGCUCUUGGCAUUGACACUCUCCUCCCAUCAGAAAGACAAUACAAAUACAAACAGUUCUGGAUGAGCUGAAACUGAAGUGUGGAGCUUUUCUGGAGCAUAUUAAAAGAAAAGCCUGCUCAGACAUACCGUGGGAACUAAAGAGGCGUACGUGUCCAGCAACAGUUUGCUUCAUAGUGGAGACUGUGCAUGCAGGUCACAUUUCCCUCUGCAGUCAUCUUCUGGAUUGUGUUUAUCUAUGUGUCAGAAGUGAAAACACAGACAUAAGAACAUAAGAACACUUAACGUUUUCUUUUUUUUUUUCAUCUAGAUAAAAAGGGAAUUGAUUGACAUCUCAUAUUUCUGGGGUUUAGUGAGAUCAUAACUGCACUUUAAUUGGUUUAAUUACCAGAAUAUAAUAUUGCAGGUAUGUAAUGUAGACCUGUAAUAUAGUUAUACAAUGUACGAUAUGUGUUAUAUAUAAUAAAAUACAACAGGUCAUAUAACACAGUUUUCGUAAUAGUUAUUAGUAGGACUAUCAGUAGUGAAUAUUCAAUGACAUGAAUAGAAAUUUCCCAUGAGUAAUGUCUUCAGGAUUCAGCUCUUCUUAUCUAAGCUUCUAAGAAGAACAUAUAUAUGAAGAAAACAUAAAGGUUAUGAAAUACGUAAAUAUGGUAUUUGGAGGCUGAGGUUGAAUUUGGCUUCAGUAAGCUGGAGGUCUCAGUUCCUCCGGAAUGCUUAGGCACCUGACUGCCACUUCACAUUUCCACAUUUGCUUCAGAAAUACAUUUUUUCUUUAUAUUUUUCAUGUCUGACUCAGUACUCACAGUGGUUUUCAUAAUCUAUCUGCUGUCUGCCUUUUGGAAAUGGCUAUUAGCAGUUACACAGUGUUUUCCAAACAUAAUUGUUUAGAUCUCUCUGGUGACACAGUUAGCAUCUGGGAGAAACACAGCAGUGUGCAAUUGUGUCUUUAAUUAUCUUUCCAUUGUGAGAAGGGCUGGUACGUGCCAAGGCAUUUAUUAUACCUGACAAGGACAAUGUAUUUACAAUGGGUGUUUAUAUACCAAUUCUUUAUAAAAAUACCUUGACAGAAAGUGCUCCACCUGCCCUCAUGUUCUCUAUUGCAAUUGCUAAUUAAUAUUAUUGUGCUGAAAAUGAUCCUAUCUAUUAAAGCUUCUGUCAUAACUGCUGCUCCCUGCCUAUCUAUGCCUAAUUAACCUGCCACUGACUCACAUGCUGGGAAGGAUGUUUGUUAGGCAGAUGUAGCCUUGCUGAUCUGAUUUCCACUGCUCCGUCUGAUUUUUUGUAGAGCCCUCCAUUCAGCUAAGUAUGUGCCUCACCUGAAGGAUGUCCAGUUGGUUUGCAUCUCCACUCAGCAUUUCUUGCACUCAGCUACUGCUGCUGAUUAAGUGCUAUAUUCUAGUACUUGGCAAUGCUCCCAUUGAUAUUACUGGUAACAGGGCUGACCAUAAGCAUAUAUUUAAAGCCAAGUGCCACCUGAUUCACUCUGCCAGUUACACACUGGUAAAGAUAAAGUGAGUGUGCAAAAUUAUUCUGAAAAAUACUGCACAAAAAGAUAGCAGCUGUUCUGAAUUUUCUGUAUAUGUCAAACUAAAAAGAUGUUUAUAUUGCUUGCAAAAGUAUGGGUUGAUUCUUCAAAGUGAAAUAGAAUACAACUUCUGCAGGUCUGGUGUCUGGGAAUUAUGACAAGGACUGGGAAGGACAGUAGUGAGAGCCUUGCCAUCGCUCCUGAAGAGCCAGGUUCAAAGAAUGACUGCUGUCUAUCAGAUGCUUUGGGCUUUAUUUUGGGUUCGUAUCUAGGUACAUAAGGA